rnacentral:rRNA from 1 species
GACGAACGCUGGCGGCGCGCCUAACACAUGCAAGUCGAACGGUGAAGAGGAGCUUGCUCCUCGGAACAGUGGCGGACGGGUGAGUAACACGUGAGCAACCUGGCUCUAAGAGGGGGACAACAGUUGGAAACGACUGCUAAUACCGCAUAACGUAUCGGGAUGGCAUCUUCCUGAUACCAAAGAUUUUAUCGCUUAGAGAUGGGCUCGCGUCUGAUUAGAUAGUUGGCGGGGUAACGGCCCACCAAGUCGACGAUCAGUAGCCGGACUGAGAGGUUGAACGGCCACAUUGGGACUGAGACACGGCCCACACUCCUACGGGAGGCAGCAGUGGGGGAUAUUGGACAAUGGGGGCAACCCUGAUCCAGCGACCCCGCGUGAGGGAAGAAGGUUUUCGGAUUGUAAACCUCUGUUGACGGAGAAAAAAAUGAUGGUAUCCGUUUAGAAAGCCACGGCUAACUACGUGCCAGCAGCCGCGGUAAUACGUAGGUGGCCAGCGUUGUCCGGAAUUACUGGGUGUAAAAGGGAGUGUAGGCGGGAUAUCAAGUCAGAAGUGAAAAUUACGGGCUCAACUCGUAACCUGCUUUUGAAACUGACAUUCUUGAGUGAAGUAGAGGCAAGCGGAAUUCCUAGUGUAGCGGUGAAAUGCGUAGAUAUUAGGAGGAACACCAGUGGCGAAGGCGGCUUGCUGGGCUUUUACUGACGCUGAGGCUCGAAAGCGGGGGAGCAAACAGGAGUUACAUACCCUGGUAGUCCACGCCGUAAAC